rnacentral:rRNA from 1 species
CCUACGGGAGGCAGCAGUGGGGAAUAUUGGGCAAUGGGCGCAAGCCUGACCCAGCAACGCCGCGUGAAGGAAGAAGGCUUUCGGGUUGUAAGCUUCUUUUAAGAGGGAAGAGCAGAAGACGGUACCUCUUGAAUAAGCCACGGCUAACUACGUGCCAGCAGCCGCGGUAAUACGUAGGUGGCAAGCGUUGUCCGGAUUUACUGGGGGUAAAGGGCGUGCAGCCGGGAAGACAAGUCAGAUGUGAAAUCCCGCGGCUCAACCGCGGAACUGCAUUUGAAACUGUUUUUCUUGAGUACCGGAGAGGUCAUCGGAAUUCCUUGUGUAGCGGUGAAAUGCGUAGAUAUAAGGAAGAACACCAGUGGCGAAGGCGGAUGACUGGACGGCAACUGACGGUGAGGCGCGAAAGCGUGGGGAGCAAACAGGAUUAGAUACCCGGGUAGUC